rnacentral:rRNA from 1 species
AUGGAAGAAAAGCUCUCUUCUAUGCGACAAGAUGUCAUUCAGGAAUUUGUGGCGCUUUAUCAAAGAGUAGGGCCUUAUCUACCAAUCGAUCCCUACUUGGUCGAUGAAGCGCUUCGUUCCUAUCUGGACCAUAUUCAUGCAACUGAUUCUUUCACUAUUCUCCAAGCAUCUUAUCAAGAUCUACGGGAGAAUGAGGGAGGAUCCGUUUUCUUUUGA